CAGCAUUCAAGUUAUUUGUCAAUAAUACGAUCAGACUAGUUGUAGAAUUAUUUGAAUUAUUUUUUUAACUUCAGUGUAACAGAUAAUUUUUUAGAACACACAGGUAUGGCUGCCGCCUACCCCAGAAGAAACAAGAUGCUGCCUGAACACGAGGCCAAGUUGCGGGAAUGUUACGAUAAAAUCGAAGAAGAACUGGAGCCUUUGGAUGUUUUUCACUUCAUGUUUGCAAGGCAGAUUUUCGACCUUGAGGAUAAAGAGAAGAUUGAGGCAGGCGAGACUAGGCAUGAGAGAGUACUCACUUUCAUGAAAAUGCUACCCUGUCGUGGACCGGAUGCGUUCCAGUUUUUUCUGGAAGCUCUCGGUCAGAAUAACUAUGAAGAUCUGGUCGACG